GACAGAGGGUGCAAACGUUGUUCGGAAUUACUGGGCGUAAAGCGCGUGUAGGCUGCUCCGAAAGUCAGGUGUGAAAAGCCCCCGGGCUCAACCUGGGAAGUGCACUUGAAACCUCGGAGCUUGAAUGCCGGAGAGGGUAGCGGAAUUCCUGGUGUAGCAGUGAAAUGCGUAGAGAUCAGGAGGAACAUCCGUGGCGAAGGCGGCUACCUGGACCAACAUUGACACUGAGGCACGAAAGCGUGGGGAGCAAACAGG
rnacentral:rRNA from 1 species